rnacentral:rRNA from 1 species
GUCGAGAAUAAUUCACAAUGGACGAAAGUCUGAUGGUGCAACGCCGCGUGGAGGAUGAAGGUCUUCGGAUUGUAAACUCCUGUCAUCGGGGAGUAAGACCUGGCGGUAAAUAGCCGACAGGGUUGAUAGUACCCGAAGAGGAAGGGACGGCUAACUUCGUGCCAGCAGCCGCGGUAAUACGAAGGUCCCAAGCGUUGUUCGGAAUCACUGGGCGUAAAGGGAGCGUAGGCGGCGUGGUAAGUCAGAUGUGAAAUCCCGGGGCUCAACCCCGGAACGGCAGCCGAUACUGCCAUGCUUGAGGGUUGGAGAGGUAGCUGGAAUUCUCGGUGUAGCAGUGAAAUGCGUGGAUAUCGAGAGGAACACUCGUGGCGAAGGCGAGCUACUGGACAACAUCUGACGCUGAGGCUCGAAGGCCAGGGGAGCAAAAGGGAUUAGAAACCCUUGUAGUCC